CCUUUGUGCCAGCUUAGAACUCUCUAAGGGGAAGUGGGUCCAAUAGGGCCCAGGUCACCCCAAGCCUGUGCCCAUUCUGCCUGCAGAAAACCUUGUAUGGAAGCCUCUGGGGCCGAUGCAGGAGGUAGUACCAGCAGUGACAAGCCGGAAGGCCCCAGGUGUAGCUUUUCACUUCCGGAAGCUCCAGGUCUCCUUGUCCCUUUGCCAGAGCAUGGCCGAGUGGCA